rnacentral:rRNA from 1 species
UACGAAGGGGGCUAGCGUUGCUCGGAAUCACUGGGCGUAAAGGGUGCGUAGGCGGGUCUUUUAAGUCAGGGGUGAAAUCCUGGAGCUCAACUCCAGAACUGCCUUUGAUACUGAAGAUCUUGAGUUCGGGAGAGGUGAGUGGAACUGCGAGUGUAGAGGUGAAAUUCGUAGAUAUUCGCAAGAACACCAGUGGCGAAGGCGGCUCACUGGCCCGAUACUGACGCUGAGGAGCGAAAGCCAGGGGAGCAAAGCGGG